rfam:Picea glauca, whole genome shotgun sequence.
AUGUAAUGUAAUUCCUACAACAUUAAUGCAUUGGAUCCCAUUAGAACUCCACAGUUAAGUGUGCUUCGGGUAGAUUAGUAUUGGGAUGGGUGACCUACUAGGAGGUCCUAGUGUUUUACAUG